CGAACGGUGAAGCCCAGCUUGCUGGGUGGAUCAGUGGCGAACGGGUGAGUAACACGUGAGCAACGUGCCCCAGACUCUGGGAUAACAGCUGGAAACAGCUGCUAAUACCGGAUACGAGACGUGGCCGCAUGGUCAACGUUUGGAAAGAUUUUUCGGUCUGGGAUCGGCUCGCGGCCUAUCAGCUUGUUGGUGAGGUAAUGGCUCACCAAGGCGUCGACGGGUAGCCGGCCUGAGAGGGUGACCGGCCACACUGGGACUGAGACACGGCCCAGACUCCUACGGGAGGCAGCAGUGGGGAAUAUUGCACAAUGGGCGAAAGCCUGAUGCAGCAACGCCGCGUGAGGGAUGACGGCCUUCGGGUUGUAAACCUCUUUUAGCAGGGAAGAAGCGAGAGUGACGGUACCUGCAGAAAAAGCGCCGGCUAACUACGUGCCAGCAGCCGCGGUAAUACGUAGGGCGCAAGCGUUAUCCGGAAUUAUUGGGCGUAAAGAGCUCGUAGGCGGUUUGUCGCGUCUGCUGUGAAAUCCCGAGGCUCAACCUCGGGCCUGCAGUGGGUACGGGCAGACUAGAGUGCGGUAGGGGAGAUUGGAAUUCCUGGUGUAGCGGUGGAAUGCGCAGAUAUCAGGAGGAACACCGAUGGCGAAGGCAGAUCUCUGGGCCGUAACUGACGCUGAGGAGCGAAAGGGUGGGGAGCAAACAGGCUUAGAUACCCUGGUAGUCCACCCCGUAAACGUUGGGAACUAGUUGUGGGGACCAUUCCACGGUUUCCGUGACGCAGCUAACGCAUUAAGUUCCCCGCCUGGGGAGUAC
rnacentral:rRNA from 1 species